ensembl:lincRNA
GUCCUCCCCAAGGCCAUUCACUCACUCUGUCCCUGAGCUCAUGGCCAGGCUGACUGGGGAGGGUGUUUAAGGCACAGACAGGCCCUGAAGUCCCACCCAUUCUACUGCUGGCUCAGCUCACAUUACCUCCUAUUUGGACUUGUUUGCUGCUCACAGUCAAGUUCUCCAAGACCAGGAUUGCUGGCUCUCAGUUUCUAGAACAACCACAGUGGAAGAUGCUGAUUCAUACUUGCUGGCCUGGAACCGAAACCAGCUGUCUGUCCCUUGUCUGCUGUAAGGAAGAUGCUGUGCUAAUCUCAGGCUCUUCUGCUGUUACAAGAUCUCCUCUCCCCAUAACGAGCAACUCCACCCUGAUGCUCCACUGGGUUGCUGUUGACUACAAUUGAGGUGUGGAUCCAGUCAUGGUGGGUGAUUUGGAGAUGCCAGGGCCCACCAUACCACUCC